CAGAAGAAAAAAAAAAAAGUGGAAAUGGAAAUAUGAGUUGCAAUAGAAAACCACAAAACGGCGUCGUUGGACGUUGUAAACCGUUUUGGUUCGUUAGAACUUUCCAUGACAGCUCAAUUCAGUGAAUAGCGAGUGCUAUGGGCGGCGAUCCACCACCCAAACCGCCGACGCCACCGUUACUCCGCCACAUCGCGAGCUUCGACGAGCGCAUCUCCCUCCACAUCCAUACCCUCACCACACCCCUCGCCCCAAAACUCCUCCUCCGCCUCCUAGAACACCUCGCCGAUUUCCGCUUCUUCUUCCCCGUCACACUCUCCCUCUUCUUCGCCACCCCUUCUUCCUCCCCUCUCCGCUCCCACCUCCUCCUCCCUCUCAUCCUCUGCUCCCUCCUCGACCUCAUCCUCAUCGGCCUCGUCAAAUCCCUCGCUCGCAGAUCUCGCCCUGCCUACGCCACCAACAACGACUACAACGCCGUCGUUUCCCUCGAUAACUUCUCCUUCCCCAGCGGCCACUCCUCCAGGGUCUCCUUCAUCGCCUCCAUCUUUUUCCUCUCCCGCGCUCCCAUUGCCGGCGCCAUCGCCGGCCCCAAUCAUCCCCACCUCGUCACGCUCGUUCAUCGUUGGAUCGGGGGAGACGAGGUUUUGGCUGUUAAUCUGUUGGUUGCGGCGGUUUGGUCCUGGGCUCUGACGACCGUUGUUUCUAGGGUUGUUCUUGGGAGGCAUUACAUUCUCGAUGUCCUCUUUGGAGCUUGCUUUGGUGUCCUUGAAGCUCUCAUCACUUUGCGCCUUCUCCAAUACCGUGCGUUGAUUUGAGGUUCUCAUGGUCAUGGAACUCAUUGAACUUAUGCUACAGGAGGGGAAUCAAAUCUUUCUAAUUGGUUUCCCACUUCUAAUGCAGCGAUGAAUGUUUUAGUGUGUCGGCAUCUUGAUCCGAUAACUUGGAUACGUUUAUGACUAACAUCUUGCAAACACUACCUGCUUUUGGGUAGGCCGGUAGGACUGCAUUGGUUUUUGUGUCUAUCCAUCAUCCAACACACUCUGGUUGCUACUCUGUUCCGGUAGAUGAAGCAUUAUGGUUUGAGUUUUGGGGGUUGUAAUCAUCAAGAGCAGUAAUUACAAGAUUUUCUUCAAGGGACCGUGUGUUUUGUCUGAUGUGUCUGUUGCCGACCUUAAACUGAAACUUUGGAUCAUCAUCAAUUGAAGGAUAAAAAGUUGUUAGGUUAUUGGUGGAAUCCACUACAACUUGAGGGUCCUACGAUGUACGUACAUGAAGCACCGCAUGUUUGGCAUUUGCUGUGUGAUUACCAAGUUACUGCUCAAGAUUUGGAGUGGUUGGAAAUUUGAGUUUUGUGGGACACCUGCCUUCUUGCUUUUGAUGUUUCUCUUUGCAUGAUUGUUUUCUUAGUAAUGAUCAGAAAUUGUCUCUCUGCAAAAAUCUAACUUUCACUGUUUAUUUUCCUAAGAGCAUUGAUUCAUAAGCUGCGAUUGGAAUGUUGUCAGAGGUGAAUUAUUCAUACAAA